CGCCCGGCAGGUGGGCGGACACCCUGCUGCCAAGCAGUACGCAUGCGUGACCAAGGAACUAGCCCAACGCCGCUGACUUGUUAGGCGUGGAUUGGGAGAAGCCCUGCGGAGACGGCUUCUGCGUUUCUAAGCCGACGAGAUGGGAGGGACUCGGGAGUACUGUCAGUACUUCUCUGCAGGCAAUGCCCAGUGUAACAGAGGUUUGUCAAGUACAGAAGUGUAGCUAUAAUUGAGCAGAUGUGUUCAAAGAACUCAGGCCCCUCAGCUCCAACCUUCCCUAUUUUCUUCAUUACUCACUCCAACACUCAGAAAAUGAUAUUUGCUUGAUUUGGAUCUUCAAGGACGUCCAUGGCAUAUUUGGAACUUUUCAUCCUCUCCAUCUUCUAAUUUGGAAC